rnacentral:lncRNA from 10 species
UAGGAAACCAGUUCCAAGGGACUCAGCUAAGCCACUCAGAGAAAAAAAGACCUGAGCUUUAUUCGGAGAGGAAAAAAAAAAAAAAUGGUCACUGGAUAGAUGGUCCCUUUGGAUCACGUGCUCAUCCCUGGCCCAGUCAGCUGUGAUCAGAGGAGCAAGACCGUGAGAUAAGGCUUGAAACCUAAGGAAUUUCAAAGAGGGGGCCAUGAUGGGCAUUCAGCGGCAUCUCAGGAGGGGGCAGAGUAACCAGCAGAUUGGGAAACCCAGGUAACAGUGCAUAGAUGAAUUGCCUAAGGUUCUGCUUCUAGUUGGUGUCCUGCGAAUCAGUUCAGCCCAGAGAACUCAUCACUACCAGGCCCAGUUGAAGGUGAGUGGUGGGGCAUUUGGCUUAGACCUCCCAUUAAAAAGGGGCUCUAUUCUGGUGUUUUUUCUUUACCCUCAAAUGACAUGUAUGGUCUAUGAUGUAUAUAGUCAAAGUAACACACUUACAGGCUAUGAUCAAAGCAGUAAGCCCACAGAUUUAGAUUGUCUUUCAUGUAACUUUUAACCUAU